rnacentral:rRNA from 1 species
GACGAACGCUGGCGGCGUGCCUAAUACAUGCAAGUCGAGCGGACGAACUUUUGGUGCUUGCACCGAAUUUUCGUUAGCGGCGGACGGGUGAGUAACACGUGGGCAACCUGCCCUGUAGAUUGGGAUAACUCCGGGAAACCGGGGCUAAUACCGAAUAAUACUUUUUAGCUCAUGUUAGAAAGUUGAAAGAUGGUUUACGCUAUCACUACAGGAUGGGCCCGCGGCGCAUUAGCUAGUUGGUGAGGUAACGGCUCACCAAGGCGCCGAUGCGUAGCGAAGAGGAGAUGGUAGUCGGCCAAACUGGGACUGAGACACGGCCCAGACUCCUACGGAAGGCAGCAGUAGGGAAUCUUCCACAAUGGGCGAAAGACUGAUGGAGCAACGCCGCGUGAGUGAAGAAGGAUUUCGGUUAGUAAAACUCUGUUGUAAGGGAAGAACAAGUAGCGUAGUAACUGGCGCUACCUUGACGGUACCUUAUUAGAAAGCCACGGCUAACUACGUGCCAGCAGCCGCCGUAAGAC